GACCUGCGGAAGGAUCAUUAUUGAAACAUUGUAAAGGGGAGUUGAGCUGGUCCUUCUAGGGCAAGUGCUCGCUUUUCUUUCAAUCUUCAUCCACCUGUGCACUUUUUGUAGAGAGUUCUGAGAAAAUAUGGAGGGGCCCCUCUUGAGUGGGGGGUUUUCCCCUAAGUAUCAGGUUCUCUAUGUCUUUACACACUCUGAAUGAAUGUCUUUGAAUGUGCAUUAUAAAGGGGACCUUAAUUGGACCUUUUACAAAACUAUACAACUUUCAGCAACGGAUCUCUUGGCUCUCGCAUCGAUGAAGAACGCAGCGAAAUGCGAUAAGUAAUGUGAAUUGCAAAAUUCAGUGAAUCAUCGAAUCUUUGAACGCACCUUGCGCCUCUUGGUAUUCCGAGAGGCAUGCCUGUUUGAGUGUCAUUAAAUUCUCAACCUCAAAUACGUUUUUUGCGUUGAUGAGGCUUGGAGGUGGAGGAUUUGCUGGCUCUGUACAGAGUUGGCUCCUCUAAAAUACAUUAGUGGAAAACUGUUUGUGGUCCGCAUUGGUGUGAUAAUUAUCAGCGCUAUUGUAGCUACAAGCUUGUUGUGGUGUUCGUUUGGAUAGUGCAUGAAUAAUGCUCUUUCUGUUUGAUUGAACCUACAAUAGGUUAUAGUAUCCGCUUCAAACCGUCCUAAGUUACUGGACAACAUUUGAUUCUUUUGACCUCAAAUCAGGUAGGACUACCCGCUGAACUUAAGCAUAUCAAUAAGCGGAGGAAAAGAAACUAACAAGGAUUCCCCUAGUAACUGCGAGUGAAGAGGGAAAAGCUCAAAUUUAAAAUCUGGCAGCUCCGCUGUCCGAGUGUAAUUAGAGA
rnacentral:rRNA from 1 species